GGGGCAAACUUUUAGUGGGAAAGGCUUUAAAAUGCUGCUUUGUUCCAAAGGCCAUUCUGCAAUGAUGAAGGGGGAUGAUUGAAAAGAGCUGGACUAAAUUGGUCUAACUAGGACACUUGAAGGCUUGUGAAUCAGUUCACACGAUCAGUGUGAAAAGCGGGUAUGAAGACCCAGAUGCUGGUGUGUACGUGUGCAUAUAAGCCCCAACAGAUUCUGCCAGAAACGGAGUAGAAAAACUGUGGCUCACCCGGGACCCAGUCUUUCCCCAGGUUCCCCACAGAUGCGCUCUGAAUCUGUUAUAAUUGACUCACCACGACCUGCAUGCACACAUGGAAUUCCUCAUGGCAUCCUUAGAUCUUUUUUGCCACAUCCUUUUGCUCUGACUCGAAGAGGAAGCCAACCAUCUCUUCACUGGCCUGUGCCACAGAUGCCUUCCAUGUCAAUACCAUCUGUGAUCCCGACGGAAAUGAUAGUUAAAAUUUGUUGCAUCUGUUAUUGAGCCUAUCUUUGUAGUAGGAGUAAUGAAAUUUGGCUUCCAAACUAAUUCAUCUUUAUGCAGAUAGCCCAAACUAACCUGCAAUUAAAACACUGAAAGUAGUCACAACUGGGAGAUACAAAAUAAAUGUGGGAAAAAGUUCUUUUUCAAUAAAGAAGCAUGAUUAGUUUGAGAAACAUCAACUCCGAGGACUAUAAUCUAAGCUGGUAGAAAUUAAAAUUAUGGGAAAAUAGAAUUUUGCCGAUAGACUUGAAACUGUGAAAAUAAGUAGAGUGUUUGAUAACCUGAAAUAAACUCUUUCUAAAGCACUAUUUUUAUAGUGGAACCAGGGGUAGCUACUAUUUUGUUAUUAUUUUAAUUGUUUGUGAACAUAUGGGAUAAAGAAAAGGAACAUGAAUGUGAUUGCAGCUACAGUAUAUCUAGAAGAGUCAAUUAAAUUUAUGUUCUAAAGGAGCAUAAGAAUGAUGAUUCUGUCACUCAGAAUUGAAGAUGUUUAAUGUAUAUUGUAAACUGGUAAUGUUUAAGAUUUUCAGAUAGUGUGUAUAUUGAUUAAACAAGAUAUUGAGAGAUUUCAAAUGGCCAAAAAGUAGAAUUGUCUUUAUGUAUAUCAAAAAAUAUUUUUGAAACUUCUGAAUUUCUCAGUCAUAUAAACAAUAAACAUCUACCCCUAGAAGAAAAUUUAAUCCUAUUUUACUUAGUUGGACAUACUCUUUCAUACACAAGAACACUUUGCUGGUUUUCCAGUGAUCACACAAGUGACUGGUGAUAGUUGGACCACAGCCCCAUUGCUCCACACUUCCUCCAGGCCCCUGUGAGUCCACCCUGUACUCAACAGAGUACAGACAGUUUAACUAGUUAGCCAGAAAAUCCUGGGAAAUCUGUCUCAGUGUAGACUCUUCAAA